rnacentral:rRNA from 1 species
AUUGAACGCUGGCGGCAUGCUUUACACAUGCAAGUCGAACGGUAACAGGGUGCUUGCACCGCUGACGAGUCGCGAACGGGUGAGUAAUGCGUCGGAACGUGCCGAGUAGUGGGGGAUAACGCAUCGAAAGGUGUGCUAAUACCGCAUACGUACUGAGGUAGAAAGUGGGGGACCUUCGGGCCGCACGCUAUUCGAGCGGCCGGCGUCUGAUUAGCUAGUUGGUGAGGUAAAGGCUCACCAAGGCGACGAUCAGUAGCGGGUCUGAGAGGAUGAUCCGCCACAUUGGGACUGAGACACGGCCCAGACUCCUACGGGAGGCAGCAGUGGGGAAUUUUGGACAAUGGGCGCAAGCCUGAUCCAGACAUGCCGCGUGUCUGAAGAAGGCCUUCGGGUUGUAAAGGACUUUUGUCCGGGAGCAAAUGCUGGUGGCUAACAUCCACCGGAGCUGAGAGUACCGGAAGAAUAAGCACCGGCUAACUACGUGCCAGCCGCCGCAGUAAAAC